rfam:Picea glauca, whole genome shotgun sequence.
GGGGAUGUAGCUCAGAUGGUAGAGCGCUCGCUUUGCACGCGAGAGGUACGGGGAUCGAUACCCCGCAUCUCCA